CUUUGUUUUUUUAUUCAUUGGUAAACAUUCGAGUUUGGACUUGUGCAACGUAUAUUUGCGAAGAAAUUUUCUGAGUAAAAAUCGAGAGCAUACUCGUAUAUUUUUGGGCAAUUUUGUAUGGCAGCCAUUUUAUAAAUCGUCGCAACAUCCGCAUUCACUUCAAUGUUCCGAAUAUAAUCUGUUUGAAACAAAUGAAUCGUCUUUGCGUUCUUCAUCAUCUUCGUAAUUUCGUCUGCAUUCCGUGAAUAAGGAGAUACAGGAUAGAAUUUCUCAGGUGGAUAAAUUGUGAACUGCUGACAUUCUUUGUUCUGCAAAAAUGAGGAUCAAUGAGAGAUGACUCGUGCAACUUACGUCAACACUAUGCUGUUUAGAUUCAAUGUCACGCCGCCAAACUUCCACAAUGUCAACAUCCGGAUGUAAUCGUGAAAGUUCUUAUACAGCCAGUCACGAUUCUCCGAAAAUUUGCGGAUAUUUGUCGAAAACCAACUUUCUAUCGGCGUAUCGAUAACGUAUCUUGACAAAUGUAUUCGUCUUAUGUACACAUUGUCGUAUGUUUGCAAGAUAUCGACGAACUCUUGGGACCUAUCAGAAAACUGGCCUGUCGCGGAAAGGAGCACGAAGAUAUUCAAAUUACGAUUGUUCCUGGCUGCCGAUUCUACGGCACAAGCUUGAAGAGAGGUAAAAUUUGGCGGUGAACAACUGGUCUCGUGGAAGAAUAUGCAUCUGCUUGGUAUCAGCAUUUGUUCAUCUGGAAAUUGACAAGUAUGUACACAUAUACUCGAGCAAACUUCUGAACGUUAUCUUUUAAAUCGAAAUAUAUAUUUACGCAAAAAUAAUCAGUUUAAUCAGAAUAAAAUACGACUCAAAUAACAAAAAUAUAUAUAAAUUUUAAAACUCAUUAAAAACUCAUUAAAUUCAUUCAAAACACAUUUUCAAAAUAUUU